CAGAUGUCAAACAGUUAGAAAUAAUUAUUUUGUUGUGAUUACAUAUACGGUAAAUGUUUAUUUUCUCUGCAGUGUAUAUGGCUGACUGGAAGCAGGGUUCCGCCUAGGGUGCCCCGCUGUCAGCUUUCAAAAAGAACUAACUAGACGUCGGGCGGGAAAAGCGACGCGUUGUUUGCUGCUAAGAAGAAUAUACUACAGGUUAUCUGCUGUCUAGAGACAGAGGGACAGUUAAGUUAUGACUGUCGCAGUCAGAGCCUAAGAUAGGAUAUCUAUGGAAAGACAUAGUGGGGACCUAAGUUGCAGAAGCUGUCGAUUUUUGGACCCAGAAGAGAGAUAUUUCUUGUUUCAUUUUCUAUACCUUUGUUGCUAUUACAAUUUGCACUACUGUACAGCGAUGUCUGUUCCGAAAAUAUUUCUGUCUUCGUUUCUAAUACAGUGCAUACUGAGCCAAGAGGACGAGUACAAGUUAGAAGAACGUCCUUACUUCGUUUUACGGAACCAAAACAUUGCACUGACUGCUGCUGUUUGCAGCCUACUACUAGUCAUUAUGAUCCUGAUGGCAGUCUGUGUUUACAAACCUAUCCAACGGUGGUAAUGGAGAAAAUAUCCAGAUGUACAGACAGUGCUCCUGGAAAUAGAGAUUCAUCCCCAGUCUUAAAAUGUUACAUUCCAAAACCUUUCAUCGCACAGGUGGAUCACAGUGAUGUCGCCAACGGAUAGGUUACUACCUGAAUAAGAUUGAUGUUCCUUUUUGCAUAGAUCAAAAAAUAAAAUCAUUCUUUCAGAUCCCUAUAAUGUGGGUACAUGCUGCAGCAUAUCCUUUUAUGGAGUAGCUGUAAAAUGGAAUGCAUUAUUUAGGACAAAAGUUCUUUUCUUGGUAAUACAGUAGUGCAAAAUAUGGACAUUGUUCUUGUUCCGAAGAAGAACUUUGUGGAUUUGAUUCUAGAAGCUAUUCAGAGAAUCAUUGUAAAAAAUGUCUAGGUAGUAUGGUAACGAAGUUUCAGUACCCAGAACUGGGUGGGAAUAUAUAGCUUGGAGGAAGAUCCAUUUCACAACUACAGUUUUAGCCGAAUAGUUGCUGGCUACAGUUUUCAUCUGACAUGAAGAUGUUAGCAUGUAAUGUCUGUUUUCGGUCAUCACUUUUUAACUGCUUAUCUUCCUCAGUAUCUCUUUAAACAACUGUAAAAGUUGUAGUUCCUGUUACAUUUCAUAAUUCCCAGCAUUGUUAAGGUUCAGUGUUUGAUCUUAAUAUAAAUGUAGAAAACAUUUUUUAAAUAAGUUUACACUUUUUGUAUUAUGAUUCUAGAAUGUUUAGAUCUGCUCAGAAGGUAGCUGUAUGUUUAAGCGAGUCCCACUAAAGCAGUGGAUUAUUUGACAAAGCAUUUAGCUUAUUAACCUAUUUAUUCCUUAUUUGUAUGUUACUUGAGUGUGUGUUUCCGACUGUUUGUUGUGCUCCUGCCUGCGUGAGUGUACAUAACUAUUCUACAGUAUGAAGUGUAGUCUUCUUUUGUGUUAGGUCGUUGCUUCUGUUUGGUCAUGGAUAAAAGCAGCCAUUUGUUAGGACCAGUUCACUUACCCAGUUAAAAAAAUGAAAAAAUGAAUAAAUAGCCUACCCUAAGAUUUUGCAAUUGGGAAUUUGUUGUGCUAAGCAAAAGGAUGCCAAUGGCUUUGUCCUGCAACACCCAGGUCUAGUUUUAGCUUUAUUUUUUGCUCUUCCUCUUUACUGGGACUCGCUAAACAUAUUGUAUUAUGAUCAGAAUUAUGUCUGUUUUGUCAAGUGCUGCAGAACCAAGAUAUGUGAAAAUAAUUUAUUGGGCUUUCCUUUUAGUGGGAUUGCUGUGUUUCAUGCCUGUUUACGUCCACAGUUACAUGAAGAAAAUGCAGAAGAUGUGAAAAAGCUGAUGUGGAAAAUAUAUAAUCAUUUUGAAUCCCUGAGUAGAAUUUUUGAAAAUGUCAUUCAAGCGGUGAUUUUUAAAUAUGCAUUUAUUGAGGUACCUCAGAAAUUUUAUUUGUAGGAAAGGCUAUAAUUUGUACUUUUUAAACUGGUAUCAUUUUUGUUACCCUUUUGUCACUUCUGACUAUACAUGGGGUACUAUAAAAGUGGAAUUUAGUUUACCUUAAUUGGCGCUUAAGAUACAAACUACACAUCGGGUCAUAGUAUGUCUUCAUUGAAACAGUCUAAAUGCCUUUCCUAUCAGUUGGCGCAGUUUGUUAUUCUGUUUACUGUGCUGAUAUAUUAAUUGCAACAGUUGCAGUUAACAGUAGCAUAUGUCAAAUAUCAAAUGUGACAUUCAUACAUGUGAGCUUACAUUUAAAAAAUAUAUCCGAUUCAUCCCCACACGUGUAUGCACAAAUAAUUCAAAGGCCAGCAAGAAAUGAAUAAAUCAGAAACACUAGUCAUAAUGGCCCACCGGUAAGACAUUACUCUGGAAUAACUUUAAUUGUAUAAAAGAAGCCAGGGCUUAAAUAUAGCCCCCUUGUCCAUAGUUUAUCCUUAUUAAUUAUAGGAUUACAAGUCAUUCCCAAAAUUUUAAUGAGAGCUACGCAUGAAACGUGAAUGAACAUUUUCCUUCCUUUGGUACUGCUAAGGACUGAGCACUUCUGCAUAUAUUUGCGACUAACUGCAGAGUAUAAAUUGUGUAAAUGCUGCUAUUUUUAUGGUUUUGCACUAGUGUUGACUAACAGUAAUUGGUAUUGUGUUUUCUGUUAACACUUUAUUUACUUAUCUAUUUAAGUUUGUUACUGUUAUUUAUUUGUUCCUAUUUUGGAAUUACUAAUUCUUUCUAGAAACGUAGGAGAAUAACUGUACCAUGUAAAAGUAAUAAAUCAUAUUUUUUUUAUUUUUAUAUUUGUAGUUAUGUUUAUGUUUAACUGCAGUAUGGCAGCAGUGUAUUCAUUGUUACUGUAGUUUGCUGCAUGUUUUAUUUUGGAAUAGGGCUCAUAAUGUGUUUAAUUAAAAAAAAUGGAAUAGCUAUAAAGUGGGUCACUGUGUAUCCUCUAGGCUGAAAUUCUGAAAAAAAAUGUAAUCUGGUAAUAAAAGACCUUUGCAGCUUUGAUGUUUGGCAGUAUGGGUAAGUCUUGACAUUCCAUUUAAUUGGUUCUCCUUAUUUUUUUCUGUUUUAAGUAUUACAUUAGUUUUUUGCAGGUGCAUAUAUAUGGGUGUGCCAACGAGCUCAUGCCUGUGUGUAAUAUCUAGAUGUUCAGUAUGUAUUGCUUUUUCUUCGAAAAUAGCCUUUUGCACUUUAACAACAUAGUGAUGUCAUUGGUCAUCUCCAUCUCCUGUAAUGAACUGAACAGUUAAGCACCCUUGAAAGGAGAACUUUUUUUCUGUUUGUGAUUAUGUAUCAGCAGGGCCUUGUGUUGACUUUAAAGAUUAUUCCUAACAUUGCAUCUGAACUUCUAAUCUCAGUACUCAUGAAAAUUAGUUUUUAAAACUGCUGUGCCACUCGCACCCUCAAAGUUGCAUAGCAAAACUCCAGGUUGCACAUUCAAGGGGAAACGGGGGAAAAAUCAGGGGGGAAAGCACUUUUAAAAACUCAUUUUCUGUUCCACUUGUGUCCUUGAUAAGUUUAGAUGCAAUAAGUCAUUAGGUUUCUUUAUUAAAAAUGUUAUUCUUAAAAACUAGAUUUCCAUGUGAAAUAGAUUUCAACAUCAUGCUUUUUGAAUCCUGAAAAACAUUUGUUAAUGGUACUGUUUAAAGUUAUAGAAUAAUGUUUUAGUGUUGUAAAUGUGGCCAUCUACAAGUGGAUAUUUUUAUUUCAGAGCAGCAGUACAAUAUGGGUUUGGGUUCAUGCAUGUACGUACUUUGGUGCUGCUUAAUUUGAAAUAAGAGUACAGUCUGGCAGGGAGAGAUAUGUUCAUAUAUGCUUCUAUUUUAGUAUUUUUUUUAAAUAUUUUUUUUUUGCAAUCCUGUUAAGAAUCCGUCUGUAAUAUUACACUGCGGACUUACUUAAAAUGAAUACAGAAAUGUACCUUACUAUAUAUAACAGAAUUAUGCUGUGUCUUUUAAUAAUUGGAAUUCAGUCAAGCCAUUGCAAACAAAUAAAUGUUGCUGAAGAAGUCUUAA